rnacentral:rRNA from 1 species
GGCAACCCUGACGGAGCAACGCCGCGUGUGGGAGGACGGCCUUCGGGUUGUAAACCACUUUUCUCAGGGAAGAAGUACUGACGGUACCUGAGGAAUAAGCCUCGGCUAACUCCGUGCCAGCAGCCGCGGUAAUACGGAGGAGGCAAGCGUUAUCCGGAAUUAUUGGGCGUAAAGCGUCCGCAGGUGGCGAUUCAAGUCUGCUGUCAAAGCACGGGGCUUAACUCCGUUAAGGCAGUGGAAACUGAAUAGCUAGAGUGCCGUAGGGGUAGAGGGAAUUCCCGGUGUAGCGGUGAAAUGCGUAGAGAUUGGGAAGAACACCGGUGGCGAAAGCGCUCUACUGGGUCGCACCUGACCCUCAGGGACGAAAGCUAAGGUAGCG